rnacentral:rRNA from 1 species
UACGUAGGGUGCAAGCGUUGUCCGGAAUUAUUGGGCGUAAAGAGCUCGUAGGCGGUUUGUUGCGUCGGCUGUGAAAUCCCGAGGCUCAACCUCGGGUCUGCAGUCGAUACGAGCAAACUAGAGUGUUGCAGGGGAGACUGGAAUUCCUGGUGUAGCGGUGAAAUGCGCAGAUAUCGGGAGGAACACCGGUGGCGAAGGCGGGUCUUUGGGCAACAACUGACGCUGAGGAGCGAAAGCGUGGGGAGCGAACAGG